GCCCCAUGCCCCAUUAUCAAUGUCGACUCCAUACUACUCUCUUAGAAAUGCGCAAUUGGACAGAUCUUGCUACAAGCCUACAAUCAUAUACAAUGGUAUAUCUUUAAAAAAAAAAAGAUGUAUGAUAACUAAUGCUGUCGCCGCAGUGAGCCAACAGUCAUAAAAUUCGAAGGUGGUGCUUGAUACCGAUAGCGUGUUCCAAUAUUUCAAGAAAAGUGAAAUGUUGCGGAUUGCACAAUCUUUACAUACAGUCUCACUUAACAAUUGGCCCAAGGCAUGAGAACAUAUCAGUCACAUAGCACCAGCGACGACUAGGAAAAACCGAAGAACAUUAUUGGUAUUACCAUGGGGUAGCAGGGACGUGCGUCUCUUACUAAAUAUCAACAUGGGGGGCGGCUAUUAGUUUUGUUCAUACUGUCUCACUCCCACAGCUAAUGGUAUUUACUCCUACUCGGUCUAGAAUUAGGAUGAUAAGAUCUACCCAUGGUAAAAGCAUUUGCAGCGAAGGCCUUGGCGAUAUUAACAUCAGAUUUAUCACUUAUGAUUUCCAACCAUAACUUCCCAACAGAUUAUGAAGUUCUUUAUUAGUUUCCGGGGGAAUGGUUACGAACCUUGAUCAAAGUUAUGUGGGAAGAACACUCUAAUCGAAUAAUAUUCUUCACAGACGUGCUCAUUUUUAAUGUUUGAAGUUUUGUAUGCAGUUGACUAAUAUGAGCAAAACGCUAAUUCAAGGACCACGAGAUGUAUCAGCUCCAGCCACAUAGUCUAUGAGAAAAUCAGAGAUUAUCGACCGUAUCCAUAUAAUUAGAGACAAACAUAAACCACGUAAAGGUGGCCUGCUCAUGAAGCCAUUAAUAUCGUAUCGUAUCAUAUUGAAAUCUCGUGAACGAUUAAAAGAAGAACGUGGAGGGGAAGAAGGGAAAGACAGCCAUCCCAAUCUACAUAGUAUAUUAUUGGUGGCAAAAGUCUCUGUUCUUUCAAAUUUAUAUUUUUGGAUUUUAUACCAUUAUUAUUAUACCAUAUUUGGUAUAUUCUUAGCAUAAGUAUUGCUGCACACAUUACACGAGAACUACUCGCUUGUGGAAACGAAUGUGUGUAGUGUAUCUGUAAUAUCAUUACAAGAAGAAGCAAAAAGUCGACCAAAAAGAUGAAAAUCGUAGAGGGAUAGAGGCGUAGGAGCCAUGGAAUGUAUUUGCAACUUUGCACCGUACAAGUAUUUUCCCUUGUGUUUCACAAGCUUAGGUUGUUGCUCAUGUUUGUAGUUGGGUGGUGGGCUCGAACUACUAAAUAAAGGUCAACCACUGUUUCUAUAUGAAUAUGAGUGCACUGUU